ensembl:snRNA U6 U6 spliceosomal RNA
GUGCUAGCUUCUCUGGCAACACAUAUACAAAAAUUGGAAUGAUACAGAGUAGAUUAGUAUGGCCUCUCCUCAAGGAUGACACAAAAUUUGUAUGCAUUCUAUAUUUUU